UCAACUUAAGAGUUUGAUCCUGGCUCAGAACGAACGCUGGCGGCAUGCUUAACACAUGCAAGUCGAACGAGAUCUUCGGAUCUAGUGGCGC
rnacentral:rRNA from 1 species